rnacentral:tRNA from 1 species
CGGUGGAACGGAUAUCAUUGAUGUUGAUAAUUAUGAAAUGUUUAAUUUCGUUGUUCU